UUAUACUGUCGACUCUGGCUGUUGUGGCUGCCAUCGCUGCUUAUUUCCUGCCGGAGAGUUUUGGAAAACCUCUACCUGAAACUAUGACACAGAUGCAUAAGAGAGAAAGGUUUAAGUGUCAAUGCACUGGAAAAUAAACAACAAUACGAUUGGAA